rnacentral:lncRNA from 9 species
GUCCCUCGUGGGUCACAGUGCUCAGCUUCACACCUUAUCCCAUGCGACAUUCAUGGACUCACCACUGGGACCUGACCCAUGUUCUAAUCAUCACGGGUACAUUAGGCCAAUGUCACUUCCCAUGUUCAUGUUUUGGGAUCAAUUUAAUGUUUCCUUCAUAACAAGAAGUACUUGAUUAACGAAAAUCAGAGUACAAGACACUUGAAUAUCCCUGAUGAUCUAAGUAGUACCAAAAGAGAUUGUAUCUUCCUUUGGUGAAAUCCCUAUUGUCAAUUAACCAGCAUAAAGGUUCAUGCCUUAGUUCUCAAGGACGAUUAGUCACCUGGGAUUCUACAUAGGACAUUUUAAAGACAUGGAAAACACUGGCCCCGAUGACCCAAACCAAGACAGCCCGAGGCCAUGCCUCACCUUGGGAUCUCUCCUGCCACCACCGCCAGAGGAGGGGUCUCGGCCCCACGCAGCCUGGCCUGGCCUUCGGCUUCCACCCUAUAAGGGAGACCCAAGAGACAAGGUGACACCCACAGUGAGACGCCAUCGACUGGGCUCCUCGGGCGGUCGGCGCUGCCCCGUUGGGCUCGAGGAUGGAAAGGCAGGAAGAGAAAGGCCCCGUUUCCUUGCGAGUGGACCUCAGAGUUCCAGACACACAUUAUUCGUCAUCGAUGCCUCAUACGCUGGCAUUGAUCAUCAUCGAUCCAGAAAAGGGGGACCUUCUCUUCCUUCGCCAUGGCCCGUGGAGUCAGGCAUUCCUCCCCGCACGGCCACUGGGCAACCCAAGGGGCCCGCCCCACCCAACGAGGCCUCGCCAUCCCUCGGGGAGCCUCUAGGACCCGUCCCCUGGCUUUCGGUCUCUCUGGGCCGCGGAGGACCAGCUGGGCCCCUGUGCAGGACGUCCAAGAGACCUUCCUAGCCAGAGCUGUCCCAUCCCUGGGACGCCAGAGCCCUUCUGGACUGCUGGCCUCGCCCGCAUCUGCCGCCCACCCUCCACCAGCCCCUCGCACUGCCCUGCCCAGCCCAGCCCCGACAAGCCCUGGGAUGCUGCUCACACUGGUCCCCUGGCUCCAAAGACAACGCUGCCAUCCUCGCCUGCUCAUCCAGGAAGGAGCCGGCCUUCGGGCCUGGCGGCUGCCUGCUGAAGAGUACAAAGCCAAGAGCAGGAGACCCAAUGGCACAGCCAUUCUCCAGGCUCGCGGCUUCCACAUGCACGCCUCCAUCGGGGCAACCCUGCUGGCAGGGCACAGCCCUGUCUCGGGACACCCACCAACCACCAGCUGGCCGCCCAGCCCCGGGACAGAGCCAAGAGCAGGAGACCCAAUGGCACAGCCAUUCUCCAGGCUCGCGGCUUCCACAUGCACGCCUCCAUCGGGGCCACCCUGCUGGCAGGGCACAGCCCUGUCUCGGGACACCCACCAACCACCAGCUGGCCGCCCAGCCCCGGGACAGAGGUGGGCCCUCCCUGACCCUGCCUACCUCACCCUUGCCCCACGGCCUCAGCCUCGGGGACAUCAGCCCAAGACCUCUGGCCAACCUGCAGCCCAUGGCAUGGCAAGAGGCAGACCAUGGGGGGUGGGGUCACCAGGGACCUGGCGCCUUGGGAAUGCCGGCCCUCCCUCGCUCUCCUCCUUCAGUUCUGGCAGGCUGGUCCACAGGGGCUCCCACUGGCCCACUGGGCGAACGCAAGCACCAGGAAGGCCCCCCAGAGGACACACGGACGGCCCCCCUGGAUGCCUGGCCUCGCCCGCGAGGGUCACGGCACGGAGGACAUUGGACCUCAGCGUUCCAGACACGUAUUCAUCGUACACGACUCAUACGCCACCAGUAGUCAUCAUCGAUCCAAUACUGUCCCCCUUUCCUACUUAA